rnacentral:lncRNA from 1 species
GAAAAUCUUAGAGACGAGUCAGCUUCCCCGUCUCCCAUCUCUCUUAUAUCUCUCAACCCUAAUCAGCCCUAGGUUCCGCCAUUUUCACAAAGCAAAGGAGCUCCAUUCUCCACCAAAAUCCGGCUCUACAACCUUCCUUCACCCCCGAACCUUACUAUAUCACCAUAAUUAUUCAAAUCAUCACCAAACGGAGCCAAGUCUGGAUCUGAAAGGGGAGAAGAGGAAACGAAUUUUCCAGUUUUGAUAAGAGGUUUGGAGUCGAAACUGGUCUUGCUCAUCCGUUCUUGACAAGAACGCAUGAUUGAGACUAAUUUUGGCUCAAAAUCAAGAAGUCCGAAGUCUUUCAAACUAUGUUCAUUUGCGUCUGUUGUUAGGUACCCUCGUUCGUCUCCUUUUCUCCGUUCUUUUGUUCUUCAUUCCAUCUUCUUCCGUUCAUCUUUUCUGUUCCUUGUUAUUGUUCAUUUGUUGAAGCAAUUUCUGUUGGCAUGAUUAAAGUAAGAGCAUGUUAGUUGCAUUUAUUUAAUUCUCAUAUUUAAUGUUAGGUAGUUCUUUUUCUUUUUUUGUUGUUUCUGAUUUCAGUUCGAAACUGGGUGGGUUUAUUGUGAAUUACUGAAUUGGGUUGGGUUCCUGUUAAAAUUGAAAGCCCAAAGAGAAGGGAAGUCAGUCCGGGUCGCAAGCCUAGGUUUGAGGCUGAAUCUUGGGUCAACUUGACCCAUAUGGUAUGGCGCAGUAAAAACAAGGGAAUUGGAGGGUAAUUUGGGUAGUGUAGGUGAAGAAUCUUUUGUUAACUAACUAGGAAGCUUCCUAGAAGCUGGGGUGGGGGUUGUUGUGAUAAUCUGAUAAUUACAUUAAGGGUAGUUCAGCAAAAAGGAAAAUUAGCUAAGGAUUAAGUAGCAAAAAACAAAAUUGAGAAAGGAUUGAAGGUCCAAAACUGAACAUUUCUAGGCUGCCCUACUUCCCUUGCCUUUAAAGGCACAUUUUCUUGCCUUUCAAGGCAGAAAUAGAGAACUGGAGAGCUAAAAAUACAGAAAAACAAAGACGGCUGCAAUUUCACUGUGUUAUUGAAUUCCUUUUCUGAAUAUUUUUUAGAUUUGCAAAGAACAAUUUCUGGUCGAUUAGUGAUUAAAAACGGAUUGAGUUUGGUUUUGUUUCAAAAGAGUUUGGAGUCUGCUGUGGUUACUGCUCGAUUGAGCUGGGUUUUGGAUUGCUCAAAUUAAUCUUCUGGGUUUACUAUUGUGAAUUUCUGCUACUGCUCUACUGACCCUUCAUUUUCUCUUGAUUUUGUCUUAUUCAUCACCAGGUACAUGUCCCUGACCUUCAUACAAUGUGAUAUACCUACUGGAGAUUGAGAAAUAGAAAUGGAACUCCUGAUGUUUGAAUAUUAUGCCUUUAGUUCAUGUCUUAGUUUAUUCCUUUUCUUUUGUUUCAUGUUCUUUCAAAUAUUAUGUAGUUUAAGAAUUAAAUACGGUUUUGUUGAGGUAAAAAUGGCUUUGAAUAUGUCAGACUCUAUGUAGAAUGUGCUGAAUAAAUCAGUAUUUGGAUCUUACACUCCCUGAUGUGAUUUAAGUCAAAAUGGGACUGUAUUAAGGCUAUUUCUCUGUUAAUUGAUUCAUCAUUAUGAGUCAUUUUGGACAUGAUUGGUUAGUGAUAGUCAAAGCUUUGGGGUGUGUUAAUUAUUGGAUAGUGAUGGUAUUUGGUGAUGCACGUCCAUUUGUCAAUUGUGUUGGUUUUGCACCAGUUUAGACCCGAUAUUGAGGCUGGAGGUCCUCACUUCUGCUCUUUAAAUGUUCUGAGUAUUAAGCUUUGGAAUAUGAGUUCUUUUGUAGAGAAAUUGG